rnacentral:rRNA from 1 species
UACGUAGGUGGCAAGCGUUGUCCGGAUUUACUGGGCGUAAAGAGCGCGCAGGCGGUCGUUUCAAGUCGCGUGUGAAAGCCCCCGGCUCAACUGGGGAGGGUCACGCGAUACUGAUCGACUCGAAGGCAGGAGAGGGUAGUGGAAUUCCCGGUGUAGUGGUGAAAUGCGUAGAUAUCGGGAGGAACACCAGUGGCGAAGGCGACUACCUGG